UACGAAGGGGGCUAGCGUUGCUCGGAAUCACUGGGCGUAAAGGGUGCGUAGGCGGGUUUUAAGUCAGGGGUGAAAUCCUGGAGCUCAACUCCAGAACUGCCUUUGAUACUGAAGAUCUUGAGUCCGGGAGAGGUGAGUGGAACUGCGAGUGUAGAGGUGAAAUUCGUAGAUAUUCGCAAGAACACCAGUGGCGAAGGCGGCUCACUGGCCCGGUACUGACGCUGAGGCACGAAAGCGUGGGGAGCAAGC
rnacentral:rRNA from 1 species